CAUCAUCGCUUGAUUCAAGCAUUGGCUGCAAAGCUUUGAAGGGGCGGCGGAAACGCCGCCCUUUUUUGUGCCCGGC
rnacentral:sRNA from 1 species